UAAGCAGCAGGUUUGAGCAAAACAACAAUAGAUUGGGACCUACAGACAGACAGCUGGAGGAUUUCUCAAAAAUCAGCAAAGAUUCUGGAGUCUCCAUUAUUUACAAUAGCAACAAUUGGGUAACUUUCCUACCCCAAAUAUUAAUAGUGGCAAUAAAUCAUUGGCUGUUUUGGAGUCCCACGUUCAAGUUGUUCGGAAUGGAUCCAUGACUUAUGGAUAACACCAAGAAAUUCAUAAACAAAAACACCAAAAUAAAACAAUGCUGAAACUGCCA
rnacentral:lncRNA from 1 species